rnacentral:lncRNA from 1 species
UUGAAAAGUAAAUAAUUAAUAUACUCAAAAAAGAACAUACCGCCCCCUUUAUGAAGCAAAAUAUUCGGUCAAUAAAUGUUUUCUUCAAUAUAUGGACAUGAAUAGUAUUUUGGACAAUGCUGAAAGUAAAGAAAUGAUGAUACUGACGUGUAUAUUUCAAUAAAAAUAAGACAGGAAAUAAGUAAAUAAAAAUCAAAUCUUAUCAAAAGAUAAAAUCCCUAUCAACUCACCAAUAGACG